GGUAGGAAAAACAAGUUUACUUGAAGCAUAUCUAACUGGAGAAUUUCACGGAUACAAAAAAAGAACCCGAAUUCAUGGUAAACAAUGUAAAAUUAAAGUACAGAACUUGGAUGCAACAUUUUAUAUUGGUAACCAUUCUGUUAAUGACAAACAUAGAAAUAUACCGAUUGGGUAUUUUAUAACAAUGGAAGGUGCUCUUUUGCUGUAUGAUGUUACAAACAAAUUUUCGUUUCUAGAGCUUUCCAAAUGGAUUUGGGAAGUGCACGAUUAUUCUCCAGAC